rnacentral:rRNA from 1 species
AGUGAACGCUGGCGGUAGGCCUAACACAUGCAAGUCGAACGGCAGCACAGUAAGAGCUUGCUCUUACGGGUGGCGAGUGGCGGACGGGUGAGGAAUACAUCGGAAUCUACUUUUUCGUGGGGGAUAACGUAGGGAAACUUACGCUAAUACCGCAUACGACCUACGGGUGAAAGCAGGGGAUCUUCGGACCUUGCGCGAUUGAAUGAGCCGAUGUCGGAUUAGCUAGUUGGCGGGGUAAAGGCCCACCAAGGCGACGAUCCGUAGCUGGUCUGAGAGGAUGAUCAGCCACACUGGAACUGAGACACGGUCCAGACUCCUACGGGAGGCAGCAGUGGGGAAUAUUGGACAAUGGGCGCAAGCCUGAUCCAGCCAUACCGCGUGGGUGAAGAAGGCCUUCGGGUUGUAAAGCCAUUUUGUUGGGAAAGAAAAGCAGCAGGUUAAUACCCCGCUGUUCUGACGGUACCCAAAGAAGAAGCACCGGCUAACUUCGUG